UAUACUUAAAACUGAGAAAAUGUUACAACUUUGGAAAAAUUCUCGACGCGCGUGGCCACGUCGUUCCAUCGCAAAGAGGUUAAUUACCAUUCGUGUCGACGAGCGAUCGACAAUCUUCGAGUGUUAAUUUCAAUUUCAAUAUUACGGAAAGUAUAAUCGAGAGAUACAUCGUCUGACAGGACAAACUGAGAAUGAUCUUCGCGAAAGGGACGAAAGCCAAUAUUGGUUAAUUAAUUAACGUUAUCGCCGGAUCUCGAACUCGGAGGGGCAAACGCGAGGAGUAAAGUUGGUUGAUCACCAACGACAGUAAUGGCGUUGAAUCUGUUAAAUCCCACAAAGUACGUCACACUGUGUAUAUCGAAACAGUCUCCCCGAAGCACGGGGGGGGACUUGAAUUCUCCGUUGUCGAAUCCAUCGUUGAUUAUUCGCUUAAACAACGAGCCACGUGCGCGCAUCGAUCAGCUUAUGUCUUACAAUCGCGCGGCGGCUAUUGCGUAAUUGCUUCGCGUUCGCCCGAAGGCCUGACGCUUCGCUUAGCAACGAACCAAUUGACGAUCGGUCAUACGUGCAACAAUUGCGAUUACACGUGGAACGAUCGCGAUUAUACGCGUCGAUAAUGGACCCGGGAAAUUGUUGUGCCACGCGGCGAACAACACGGACGCGUCUCUCCGUCAACGUGAAAACGCUAUUGAACGCCGAACAACGCUGGUUUUCCCACCGACACAUGGUCAAAGAGAAAAUUGGAUUUGGAAUAAGAAUUGUGUAACGAAGAAGACAUUUGAUCAUCAUUACGAUCACCGAUAGCUGAUCGAGAUAUGAAUUUGCGCAAACAUCCGCGAUAUCAGGAUUAAAUAGGAAUGAAACAAUUUAAUUGGAAAUCAUUGUACUUUCAAAUGCCUGAUGAUCAGUAGUCAGAUGUUGAGAAAAUUCUAGAAAAUUUCGAGUAACUCGUAUGCUUCCAUGGUUUGCGUGAAUUUGCGCAAACAUCCGCGAUAUCGAGAUUAAGUAGGAAUGAAACAAUUUAAUUGGAAAUCAUUGUACUUUCAAAUGCCUGAUGAUCAGUAGUCAGAUGUUGAGAAAAUUCUAGAAAAUUUCGAGUAACUCGUAUGCUUCCACGGUUUGUACGAAUUUGCACAAACACCUGCGAUAUCGAGAUUAAGUAGGAAUGAAACAAUUUAAUUGGAAAUCAUUGUACUUUCAAAUGCCUGAUGAUCAGUAAUCAGAUGUUGAGAAAAUUCUAGAAAAUUUCGAGUAACUCGUAUGCUUCACGGUUUGUACGAAUUUGCACAAACACCCGCGAUAUCGAGAUUAGUAACGAAAUUAAAUUAGAAUGAAACAAUUUAAUUGGAAAUCAUUAAAGUUUCAAAUGCCUGAUGAUAGUAAUCAGAUGUUGAGAAAAUUUCGGGUAUAUCGUAUGCUUCCACGGUUUGUACAAAUUUGCACAAACACCCGCGAUAUUGAAAUUAAUAUUAAAAUUAAGUUAGAAUGAAAAAGUUUGAUCCAAAAUUAUUGUAGUUUCAAAUACCUGAUAUUAAUCAGAUGUUGAAAAAAUUGUAGAAAAUGUUGACUAAUUUGUACCCUUCCACGGUUUGUAUGAAUUUGCACAAACAUUCACCGUCUGGAGUAAUCAGCAACGAAGUGAAACGAAAUGGAGAAUUCCAAGAUUAAACAGCUUAACUCGAAAUAUCUAACGACGCCAAUUACCAAAUCAAGAAAAUCCUCCAGCCGCUUAAAAAAAAAAAAAAAAAUGGAACAAUCAAUUAAAUCGACUUGCAAGUAGUCGAUCCUUCCUCGGUUAACUAACCGAGCUGAAAAAGAAGGAAAAAGAGAUACGCCGUUACGAGACAAAAAAGAAAGUCAAUUUUCAUUGUUCGUCGAGGCAAUCUUCGAUCGUGUUCCAUCGUCAAUGCACUCAAAUUACAACAGGCCAGAGACAGACGGUGGAAACGGACGGGCAGAAAAGAAAGAAAGAAAAAGCGAAGCAGCGUUGUUCACGCGGCGGUAUGGCCAAAAGUCAACGCUUUCAAGAAUCGAUAUCCGCUAAUAGAAUUGUGCACGCACCGCGAACCGAACGAAAUACGACAACGGCAGGUUUGCUGGCAAUUAGUAAUGACGUGUCGUUCGAUAUAUUGUGUAUACGGACCUGUCGCUUGAAAACGAUCGUCGCCCAAUCAAAUUCUCGUUCCAUCUUCCGUCGUUCGUUCUUGCACAUCUGGCUUAAAUGCAACACUUUUUUUUUUAAUGUUAAGAAUUACAGAAUUAAAUAAAUUUAUACAUUACACCCACUAUGGCGCUGAUGUUUAUGCAGUGUCACGCGUAAUUAAGGAAAUCUAAUUCUAAUAAAAAUUUAUUUCAUCCAU